rnacentral:rRNA from 1 species
CGAAGCGUGCGAUUGGAUUGCACGUCUAAGCAGUAAGGCUGAGUAUUAGGCAAAUCCGGUACUCGUUAAGGCUGAGCUGUGAUGGGGAGAAGACAUUGUGUCUUCGAGUCGUUGAUUUCACACUGCCGAGAAAAGCCUCUAGAUAGAAAAUAGGUGCCCGUACCGCAAACCGACACAGGUAGUCAAGAUGAGAAUUCUAAGGUGAGCGAGCGAACUCUCGUUAAGGAACUCGGCAAAAUGACCCCGUAACUUCGGGAGAAGGGGUGCUCUUUAGGGUUAACGCCCAGAAGAGCCGCAGUGAAUAGGCCCAAGCGACUGUUUAUCAAAAACACAGGUCUCUGCUAAACCGUAAGGUGAUGUAUAGGGGCUGACGCCUGCCCGGUGCUGGAAGGUUAAGAGGAGUGGUUAGCUUCUGCGAAGCUACGAAUCGAAGCCCCAGUAAACGGCGGCCGUAACUAUAACGGUCCUAAGGUAGCGAAAUUCCUUGUCGGGUAAGUUCCGACCCGCACGAAAGGCGUAACGAUUUGGGCACUGUCUCAACGAGAGACUCGGUGAAAUCAUAGUACCUGUGAAGAUGCAGGUUACCCGCGACAGGACGGAAAGACCCCGUGGAGCUUUACUGUAGCCUGAU